UAGCAAUACGGCAGCGGCAGACGGGAGAGUAACACGUGGGAACGCGCCCUUCGGUUCGGAAUAACUCAGGGAAACUUGGGCUAAUACCGAAUACGCCCUUACGGGGAAAGAUUUAUUGCCGAAGGAACGGCCCGCGUCCGAUUAGCUUGUUGGUGAGGUAACGGCUCACCAAGGCGACGAUCGGUAGCUGGUCUGAGAGGAUGACCAGCCUCACUGGGACUGAGACACGGCCCAGACUCCUACGGGAGGCAGCAGUGGGGAAUAUUGGACAAUGGGCGCAAGCCUGAUCCAGCCAUGCCGCGUGGGUGAUGAAGGCCCUAGGG
rnacentral:rRNA from 1 species